rnacentral:rRNA from 1 species
CCUACGGGAGGCAGCAGUGGGGAAUAUUGCACAAUGGGGGAAACCCUGAUGCAGCAACGCCGCGUGGGUGAAGAAGUCUCUCGGUAUGUAAAGCCUUAUCAGUAGGGAAGAGAAUGACGGUACCUGACUAAGAAGCCCCGGCUAACUACGUGCCAGCAGCGGCGGUAACACGUAGGGGGCAAGCGUUAUCCGGAUUUACUGGGUGUAAAGGGGGCGUAGACGGGUGUGCAAGUCCGAAGUGAAAGCCCGCGGCUCAACUGCGAAACGGGGUUGGAAACUGUUUAACUGGAGUGCUGGAGAGGUAAGCGGAAUUCCUGGUGUAGCGGUGAAAUGCGUAGAGAUCAGGAGGAACACCGGCGGCGAAGGCGGCUUACUGGACAGUAACUGACGUUGAGGCUCGAAAGCGUGGGGAGCAAACAGGAUUAGAUACCCGUGUAGUC